CACGUAGGCACCAAGCGUUGUCCGGAUUUAUUGGGGCGUAAAGAGCUCGUAGGCCGGUUCAGUAAGUCAGGUGUGAAAUCUUUGGGCUUAACCCAAAGCGUGCACUUGAUACUGCUGUGACUUGAGUUCGGUAGGGGGAGUGGGGAAUUCCUAGUGUAGCGGUGAAUGCGCAGAUAUUAGGAGGAACACCGGUGGCGAAGGCGCCACUUCUCGGG
rnacentral:rRNA from 1 species